rnacentral:rRNA from 1 species
GCAGUUAAGAAGCUCGUAGUUGAAUUUCUGCCUUAUCAUUAAUUUCGCUUCCGAACGUAAUUUUAUUGAUUUGGCAUCUUCUGGAUUAUAUAUUAUUUUUAAUAUAUUUUUCCAGUAUUUUACUUUGAGAAAACUAGAGUGUUUCAAACAGGCUUUUGCCUUGAAUACUACAGCAUGGAAUAAUGAAGUAGGACUAUUGGUUCUAUUUUGUUGGUUAUCGAACCAUAGUAAUGGUUAAUAGGAGCAGUUGGGGGCAUUCGUAUUUAACUGUCAGAGGUGAAAUUCUUAGAUUUGUUAAAGACGAACUACUGCGAAAGCAUUUGCCAAGGAUGUUUUCAUUAAUCAAGAACGAAAGUUAGGGGAUCGAAGACGAUCAGAUACCGUCGUAGUCCUAACCAUAAACU